rnacentral:rRNA from 1 species
GCCGGAAUUGCUAGUAAUGGCAGGUCAGCAUACUGCCGUGAAUACGUUCCCGGGCCCUUGUACACACCGCCCGUCACACCAUGAGAGUUGGGAAUACCCGAAGCCUGUGAGCUAACGCAAGAGGCAGCAGUCGAAGGUAGAAUCAAUGAUUGGGGUGAAGUCGUAACAAGGUAAC